AUAUACUUUGUCAGCUGAACUAAAGGUGACCACUGUGUUGCCAAAAGCUGACAAAGCUUUGCAGUUAAAGUGUCCCAUACAGAUGCAUCAUCAAAACACAGAGCAUUUUAAAGAUGCGACCUGGAACGUUGCAGAAAGCCAAACUCUACUCAAAAUUGUCAAGAAUUGACAGAUUGCUGAACAAAGUUUGGCGACGCAGAAACAACCUUCAACUUCAGGCAUUCGCAGAGAUACAAAAGAAAAAAACACUAAAGACAAUCGGACUAGAUUGAAAUGUCAAACUUACAUUGUUGACUUGGAGUCCGCGUCUCUUCUACCUGCUGAAUCAAUGAGUGGGGGACAAGAGCGCAGAGCGUAAAACACACCUGGGGAUACAUCCGGCGAAGACCUUCAAAAUAAAAGUGUUUCCGGACAAUUUCUGCCUCUAGAUUUUCAGACUUCUUUACACAGG